rnacentral:pre_miRNA from 1 species
CUGGAGGUGGGGGGGUUCCUCAGCCUGGAUUGUGAGAGGGUGCAGGCCAGGCCCAGGGACCCCACCAGUGCAUG